CGAACGUUAGCGGCGCGCCUAACACAUGCAAGUCGAGCGAGAAAGGGAGCAAUCCCCGGUACAGCGGCGCACGGGUGAGUAACACGUAGGUAACCUGCCUCCGAGUGGUGGAUAACCUUCCGAAAGGAGGGCUAAUACAGCAUGAGCCCACGAUUCCGAGAGGAGUUGGGGGAAAAAGUCGGCCAAUCCAUGGAAGCUGACGCUUGGAGAGGGGCCUGCGGCCCAUCAGCUAGUUGGUGAGGUAACGGCUCACCAAGGCAAAGACGGGUAGCUGGUCUGAGAGGAUGAUCAGCCACACUGGAACUGAGACACGGUCCAGACUCCUACGGGAGGCAGCAGUGGGGAAUCUUGCGCAAUGGGCGAAAGCCUGACGCAGCGACGCCGCGUGGGUGAUGAAGGCCUUCGGGUUGUAAAGCCCUGUGGAGGGGGACGAAUAAGGCAUGGCUAACAUCCAUGUUGAUGACGGUACCCCUUUAGCAAGCACCGGCUAACUCUGUG
rnacentral:rRNA from 1 species